rnacentral:rRNA from 1 species
GGGCCGCACGCGCGCUACACUGACGGAGCCAGCAAGCUACCUUGCCGAGAGGCCUGGGUAAUCUCGUGAAACUCCGUCGUGCUGGGGAUAGAGCAUUGUAAUUUUUGCUCUUCAACGAGGAAUUCCUAGUAAGCGCAAGUCAUUAGCUUGCGUUGAUUACGUCCC